AGAGUUUGAUCCUGGCUCAGGACGAACGCUGGCGGCGUGGAUUAGGCAUGCAAGUUGAGCGACGGACAACCUUCGGGUUGUUACGGAGCAGCGAACGGGUGAGUAACACGUGAACAAUCUGUCCCUACAUUCCGGAUAAUUCGCCGAAAGGCGUUGUAAUACGGGGGAGGAUCACUCUUUGGCAUCUUAGAGUGAGGGAAGGCGCAAGCCGUGCAGGGAGGAGUUCGCGGCCUAUCAGGUAGUUGGUGGGGUAAUGGCCUACCAAGCCGACGACGGGUAGCUGGUCUGAGAGGAUGGUCAGCCACAUUGGAACUGAGACACUGUCCAGACUCCUACGGGAGGCUGCAGUCGAGAAUCUUGGGCAAUGCACGAAAGUGUGACCCAGCGACGCCGCGUGAAGGAUGAAGGCCCUCUGGGUUGUAAACUUCUUUUAUGGGGAAAGAAUAAAUGACGGUACCCCAUGAAUAAGCCACGGCUAACUACGUGCCAGCAGCCGCGGUAAUACGUAGGUGGCAAGCGUUGUCCGGAUUUACUGGGCGUAAAGCGUAUGCAGGCGGAUGUUUAAGUAAGAAGUGAAAGGUUGCAGCUCAACUGCAACACUGCUUCUUAUACUGGGCAUCUUGAGUGGCGGAGAGGGAGAUGGAACGACACGUGUAGCGGUGAAAUGCGUUGAUAUGUGUCGGAACACCAAUGGCGAAAGCAAUCUCCUGGACGCAAACUGACGCUGAGAUACGAAAGCUAAGGUAGCAAACAGGAUUAGAUACCCCCGUAGUCC
rnacentral:rRNA from 1 species